rnacentral:rRNA from 1 species
GAUGAACGCUGGCGGCGUGCCUAAUACAUGCCAGUCGAGCGAACGGACGAGAAGCUUGCUUUUCUGAUGUUAGCGGCGGACGGGUGAGUAACACGUGGAUAACCUACCUAUAAGACUGGGAUAACUUCGGGAAACCGGAGCUAAUACCGGAUAAUAUUUUGAACCGCAUGGUUCAAAAGUGAAAGACGGUCUUGCUGUCACUUAUAGAUGGAUCCGCGCUGCAUUAGCUAGUUGGUAAGGUAACGGCUUACCAAGGCAACGAUGCAUAGCCGACCUGAGAGGGGGUUCGGCCACACGGAACUUGAACCACGGCCAGACUCCUACGGGAGGCAGCAGUAGGGAAUCUUCCGCAAUGGGCGAAAGCCUGACGGAGCAACGCCGCGUGAGUGAUGAAGGUCUUCGGAUCGUAAAACUCUGUUAUUAGGGAAGAACAUAUGUGUAAGUAACUGUGCACAUCUUGACGGUACCUAAUCAGAAAGCCACGGCUAACUACGUG